ACGGGGGGUGCGAGCGUUGUCCGGAAUCACUGGGCGUAAAGGGCGCGUAGGUGGUCUUGUAAGUCUGUGGUGAAAGCCCGGGGCUCAACCCCGGGUCGGCCGUCGAUACUCUCGUGCUUGAGCACUGUAGAGGCAGGUGGAAUUCCGGGUGUAGCGGUGGAAUGCGUAGAGAUCCGGAAGAACACCGGUGGCGAAGGCGGCCUGCUGGGCAGUAGCUGACACUGAGGCGCGACAGCGUGGGGAGCAAACAGGA
rnacentral:rRNA from 1 species